GGGAAACCUCAGUUUGGAUGGGGUUAUCUGCCUCUCUUUAAUGACAACAAGCCUAAACUGAAAACGGUCACCAAAUUUGGUUCCCGCACGGUUUUUUCGUGUACCGCCUUAUCUUUCGUACACCAAACGUAUAUUUGCGCGUUUUCCUCCUCUUUAAUGACAACCAUUUGGAUUGUUCUUCUUCUCUUUUGAUUUUCUCUUUCUCUCUUUUCUAACAUCUUUCUGAGAUAAAUCCUAGAAUUAAAAAGUCUCGGUUUCAAGCAAUUAAUGAUGAAAAUAAUGAUUUGAAUGAAUCGAUUCAAGUAUAACUGAGUUAUAUCUCCCUGGAUCGAUUUAACAGUCAAAGUUAGGGUUAUUUUGAAUUUCCUCUUCUCUCCGAGUUCUAUUCCGAAUGGUUGUUGCAACCUAAGAUUUAGUGGACGAAUUCAUCGGAGUUGGUUCUUGAGGUUCCCUCGAACAAAAACUCCAGUAAUUGUGCCAACAAAAUGUUGUUCAAGAGUAUCUUAGUAGCAGCAGUGAAAAUUUUAUGUGUUUGCAUCAGAAUUCAUGUUGUUAAUUGACAUUGCGGUUCACAGAGGAAAACUUAUCAAGUCUCUAAAGUUCAGUUCAUUCGUUUCAACUCAAGCAUGGAUUUUGGUACAGUCGAGAUUGACUGAUAUUAUCUAAGGUGUGAUCUCAAUAACAACCCGGACAAUAUGGUGCUUUUCCUUAACUGGAACAAGUUUAUUCGUUACUUAUUGGAAAAUAUUUUGUGUUUUCUCUCUCCAUGAAUGCUGGUUACUAAACUCAUUCUAUCUGAUUCAGCUAUGUAGUAGAGAGAUGCAGUAAGGCAAGUUGUAAUUAACUUCAUGGCAGCAUGGUUUGUCAUAAAAGUUUUUAAUUAAGAAGAUUCAUCCCUUUGUCAUUCCCAUUCAUGGGUCAUAAAAAAGGUUCUAUCAGAGUUUUGAGCAUGCCCAUCAUCUUGGGAUGCAGUUUAGCAGUUAGUCUGGGUGAGUUAUAUCAGUCACAUUCUUUUUACGUAUCUUAUAUUUUCUUAUUUUCAUACAUGUCUUGCUCACGCAACUAACUCUUUAGGAUGGUAAAGAAUGAUGGUCCGAUUUUUAUAAUAUUACCUGACUAUUUGGUAAUGUAUCUUUCUAUGACUAAGUUAACUACUCCCUACGUCCCACUAUUAAUUGAGUUACUUUAUAACUAAAUUUAGUUAUAAAAUAAGUCAAUUAAUAGUGGGACGUAGGUAGUGUUUGUUUAUUAUAUUCCAAUUUGGAACUUGGAAUCCAACUAAUUAUCUAUCAUUACAACCCCUUACUUCCUUUGCAGAAAUUUGAAGUUUUUAUUGUAUGGUCGGUUAAUACAUGAUUGUUGUGACUUACUAACUUCGAUGCAGUGUCGACUUUGAACUUCCAAUUAUUGUUAAGGUGAAGAUGAUUCAAACAGAUCACUGCAUAAGGUGGAUCAAAGGUAGGGACUGUUGAUACUGAGUCUACUGUGAGUGUUCCUUUGUUUGUUAACAGUUGCGACGAUAUAUUGGACACUAGAACCCUAAAUUUCAUGGGCACGGAAAAAUAGUUUUGAAACUUCUAUUUUUCCUAAGCACCACUAUUUUAUUGCUUUUAUUAAUAUUGUUCUUCACAAUUUGUGGAUUUGAGUUUGAGAAACUUGAUUGAGGAUACUUUCUGCAAGUGUAUGUACUCAAGAACUCCACACUCUGUAAAAAGAUAUUUUCAAGAAAUAGGGAACACAGAGUGUGUUUUUAUGUUUAUAAUUAGUGUUUUGAUUUUUUUUCGUGCGA